UGUAAAUAAGCUUGUUUGCAAACCAUUCUAAGGUCAGAUGUUCUGUUGCCUUUAUUGUAAGUAAGAGGGAUAUGAGAUACGAGAGGUAUCUUACUUUUGUUGAAUUACAUGUGAAUAAUACACUGUGUUGGCAAGUUGCUUUCACAUGGAACUCAGCUAAGCGAUCAGUUACUCUGCCAUGAAUAAAGCUUCACUACACAAAAGCUGCUACACAGUGAAAUGCAGCGAGCUCAGUAUCACAAACACAGCAGCUAGUUCGCUACAUAGCACGCUGCUUUAACAUGCGUUAAUUCCACAUGACAAGAAAGUUGUGUGGCCAAUGUUAUACGAGUAAUAGGUUAUAUUUCUACAAUAACAUUACUGUGUCCGUUUGAAUCUAAGUGUUAUGGAAUAUGACUUAUCGAGUCUCAGUUCAUAAUCAGGUGAAAAACAGCCGGGGAAGUAAACAUCGCCAAGCUAGCUGACUGCCAUUUCACUACAGUGAGAUACUUGCUCCUUCUCUGCUCUCUGGUAAUAUUCUUUUCACAAAACACAACAAAUAGGACGGUAAUGUUAAAUCUUACUUGUGAAAGGUUAUCCCCCUGAGCCCUGCUGGCGAUUAGCGCAGAAAUAAGCAGCACAGUGCUGUGGCCUCCUGCAUCUUCUGCUGCUACGCUACUACGAGCACCACCGCUACAAGAUGGCGGCCGUAUUUCUCGUGACCCGAAGCCAAUGCGGCGUCUAUGUAAAUUAUGUCUAUGGGUAUCGUCAUCUAGUUGAACAUCUGCUCCCUGAUGGACACCCAUUGGUCCCCAAGCUGCUAGAUAUGUCCCAUCUUGCCUCAUAACGUCUGUCCUUCACGUGUCCUCACUGUUUAUUCACAGCGUAAACUGGAGGACACGCACACGUCAUCCCUCAUGUGGUGGAAUAAAGGAAGUUUUAAAGAUGAUGCAAGAGACUCUUUAAAUUCUUUACGUAACUUAAGGAAAAUAAUUUCUCGUAAAAGCAGAAUAUUAAAUGGUAGAUCACGAAGGUCGGUCUCUGUUCUUCUGAUAAAAAAAGAAAGAGAUGUAACGAAAACAUUUAAUUUGACUUGUACACAGUACAUUAUCACACAUUUAUACUUUGAUGUCAGAAGUUGGACACUUUCUGUACAAAAACUUAGAUGAAUUUAACAACGAUGAAUCAUUUGUUGUGCUGAUCACUAAUCUUUCUUUGCAAUGCAGAUAGAAGAUAAAGAAACAUCCCAGUAGAGCUGCUGUCAGUCCCAGUAGUCCCAGUGCACAGUAGAGGCCGAUCCAUCUCAGUCUGGUGUCACUCGUUGUCUCAGGUUCGGGUCGAUCCUUCACUGCUGCAAAGAGACACAACAAAUCUGUUUAUUAAUGUAAAGAAAAAGGUUUAUUUAUCUGAAUAAAGCUGCUGAAUUAAACGUGUUAGUAAGUUUAACUUAAUGAACCUACCAGUGACCUUGAGGUGACAUUCCUUAUAGUUCAUCCCAUAACUUGUGUCCACUUGACACCAGUACAGCCCCGAGUCAUUAGUCUGGAGUCUGGAGAUGUGAAGUCUGAGUCGUCCUUCUCUGAGGACGUCUUUGUCCCACUGGACUCGUCCUGCAAAGCGUUUAUCCUGCAUCUCUGGGACCUCGACACCUUCAUACAGCUCAAACAGGGUAAAGGGUCUCUCAUCAGCUAACAUCUCACAGGAGACAUAAAGGGCGUUGGGGGAGGGGUCCGUGCUGGUGGGGAACAUCCAUUCCAGUGAGAUGUUGUGGUUCUCCUCUGCAUGAUACCAGCUCUGUGUCACAUUCACUACAAAUGACCCUGCUGAGGAGACAGAGAAGGAGAGGAGGAGGUGACAAAGUGACAGCUUUAACAUGGAGCCUUUAGACUCCAUCUCCAGAUGUUUCUGAGGAGUGUGUGCUGAUGCUUCACAGCUGCUUCACAAACACAAAAGUGAACCGACCACAGACACAGGAGGUCAGGAUGAAGAUCACCAGGAUGCUGCAGAUCAUCUCCUCCCUGUGAGAGGAGACAGAGGAGAAGAGGCUCAAACAUCAUCAUCACAC
ensembl:lncRNA